UACGAAGGGGGCUAGCGUUGCUCGGAAUGACUGGGCGUAAAGGGCGCGUAGGCGGAUGGCACAGUCAGAUGUGAAAUUCCCGGGCUUAACCUGGGGGCUGCAUUUGAUACGUGUUGUCUUGAGUUCGGAAGAGGGUCGUGGAAUUCCCAGUGUAGAGGUGAAAUUCGUAGAUAUUGGGAAGAACACCGGUGGCGAAGGCGGCGACCUGGGCCGACACUGACGCUGAGGCGCGAAAGCGUGGGGAGCAAACAGG
rnacentral:rRNA from 1 species